AAUUGUAUAACAGUCAAAAGUGGCAUAAUGUCUAAACUAUAUAACAAAGAGUGGUACCUUUGUUAAAUGGUUAAAUAAUUAAAUUAUUUUUGUAUUCUAAUUUUGACCAUUAUAGCCAACUGGAUACAAUUACAAUCAAGUUCUCAAAUUAGGAGAAAACUGCUAAAAUUAAAAAUCUAUGAUAUAAUUGAAUCGUGUGAAAGGCUUUGUGUGGCCAUUUGACAUUUAUAAUGCAUUCUCUAAUUAUUAUGUGUAACAUCUGUCGCUAGCAUAGACAUGUACAUGUCUCCAGCGGAGAGAAUUAAGGUUCUGCCAUUAGGAAAGAAGCCCUUUGUUUCACUGGUCAGUUACUUCAUGAAGGACAGACGUCAAAUAUUAGAAGCAAACCUGAGAAAUAAAAAGAUUAACCAGCCUCAUAAGCUUGCUUACCAAUAAUUACAGUCAUUGUUGGGUGGUAUUUUUUAAUGACCUUUUAUCUGCAAUGCUUAUUUAGGGAAUAAAACAGGGGAGUUCAAAAAGUUGAAGUCAAUCGUAGGAUGGAUUGUCUUCAGCCUGCAAUUUAUUUUUUCUGAUCUUUAUUUUAAUGUUGGAAAAUUAGAUGUUUGAGUUGAAAUGAAGAAAAAUUAGUGGGUUAGAAAAUUCAUUUGAGUGGCAAAUGAGAUGUUGAUAGAGUAAUCUUCUCUAUAAGGCAGGCAGAAAAUUCAGAUUUGUAUUGGAAAUUUGGGAAGGUAAUUGCGUGUUGUUGUUCAUUGAAGGGGUCACUUGCAGGGGAGAAAAAUGGGUUAAGUAGCAGAGCUGCUGAGGUAGCUUAUGAUAUAGAGCAUAUUAUGGGAGCCAAGGACCUUUUCUUUAGGAAAGAAAAUAGAUCGUGUGCUGAUCCAAUUGUUGUGUUUGUAAGCAUUGGCUUUCUCACAUUUGAGCUUGAAUCAACUAAACUUCUUUUAGUUUGCUAACGAUCAAAUUAUAAUGCUUAUUGUCUUGAUUUGAAAAGAUCAGGGUUUUGCAUCAGUAAAUUCA
rnacentral:lncRNA from 1 species